GACGAACGCUGGCGGCGUGCCUAAUACAUGCAAGUCGAGCGGACGAAUCGAAAGCUUGCUUUUGAUUCGUUAGCGGCGGACGGGUGAGUAACACGUGGGCAACCUGCCCUGUAGACGGGGAUAACACCGAGAAAUCGGUGCUAAUACCGGAUAACACGAAAUGUCGCAUGACGUUUCGUUGAAAGACGGCGCAAGCUGUCGCUACAGGAUGGGCCCGCGGCGCAUUAGCUAGUUGGUGAGGUAACGGCUCACCAAGGCGACGAUGCGUAGCCGACCUGAGAGGGUGAUCGGCCACACUGGGACUGAGACACGGCCCAGACUCCUACGGGAGGCAGCAGUAGGGAAUCCUCCGCAAUGGACGAAAGUCUGACGGAGCAACGCCGCGUGAGCGAAGAAGGCCUUCGGGUCGUAAAGCUCUGUUGUUAGGGAAGAACAAGUAACGCAGUAACUGGCGUUACCGUGACGGUACCUAACGAGAAAGCCACGGCUAACUACGUGCCAGCAGCCGCCGUAA
rnacentral:rRNA from 1 species